rnacentral:ncRNA from 2 species
GAUAUAUGGGAAGCUAUGAUGAUACAUCUUGAAUCUGGGCACCUUAGAUGUAUUUAGCCAAUGGUGCAACCGACCCGAUCUAUA